rnacentral:tRNA from 1 species
GCAGGGGUAGCGAAGUGGUCAAACGCGUCAGGUUCAGGGCCUGAUCGGUUAGUCCGUUCAAGAGUUCAAAUCUCUUCCCCUGCA